rnacentral:rRNA from 1 species
AUGAACCGGCAAUGGAUGUACGGUGACAGACACACCUCUGAGUACAUUAAGGGCGUGCAUGAUUUUCUCGAAGUGGCUGAGGCAAACAAGCAGAAUGGUUUUAUGUGUUGUCCAUGCCCUACAUGUGGGAAUACGAAGUCUUACUCUGACCGGAAAAUCCUUCAUGCCCACCUGCUUUACAAGGGUUUCAUGCCACACUAUAAUGUUUGGACGAGGCACGGAGAAAUGGGGGUUAUGAUGGAAGACGGCGAAGAAGAAGAGGACGAUGACAACUAUGUGCCCCCUGAAUACGGUGAUGCUGCAACGGGGGAAGCUGCUGAAGAUCAAGAGGAACCAGACGAUGUGCCCAAUGAUGCUGCAAGGGGGGAAGCUGCUGAAGAUGAAGAGGAACCAGUGCCCGAUAAUGAUGAUCUCCGCCGGGUCAUUGUCGAUGCAAGGACGCAAUGCGAAAGUCAAAAGGAGAAGCUGAAGUUCGAUCGCAUGUUAGAGGAUCACAAAAAAGGGUUGUACCCCAAUUGCGAAGAUGGCAACACAAAGCUCGGUACCGUACUGGAAUUGCUGCAAUGGAAGGCAGAGAAUGCUGUGCCUGACAAAGGAUUUGAGAAGCUAUUGAAAAUAUUGAAGAAGAAGCUU